rnacentral:rRNA from 1 species
GUGGGGAAUAUUGCACAAUGGGGGAAACCCUGAUGCAGCGACGCCGCGUGAAGGAAGACGUAUUUCGGUAUGUAAACUUCUAUCAGCAAGGAAGAUGAUGACGGUACUUGACUAAGAAGCCCCGGCUAACUACGUGCCAGCAGCCGCGGUAAUACGUAGGGGGCAAGCGUUAUCCGGAUUUACUGGGUGUAAAGGGAGCGUAGGCGGCCAUGCAAGUCAGAAGUGAAAGCCCGGGGCUCAACCCCGGGACUGCUUUUGAAACUGUAGGGCUAGAUUGCCGGAGAGGUGAGCGGAAUUCCUAGUGUAGCGGUGAAAUGCGUAGAUAUUAGGAGGAACACCAGUGGCGAAGGCGGCUCACUGGACGGUAAAUGACGCUGAGGCUCGAAAGCGUGGGGAGCAAACAGGAUUAGAUACCCCAGUAGUCC